GCCAGACUCCUACGGGAGGCAGCAGUGGGGGAUAUUGCACAGUGGGGGGAACCCUGAUGCAGCGACGCCGCGUGGGUGAAGGAGCGUUUCGGCGCGUAAAGCCCUAUCGGCAGGGAAGAAGGAGGACGGUACCUGACUAAGAAGCCCCGGCUAACUACGUGCCAGCAGCCGCGGCAAUACGUAGGGGGCAAGCGUUAUCCGGAGUUACUGGGUGUAAAGGGGGCGCAGACGGCAGCGCAAGCCAGGAGUGAAAGCCCGGGGCCCAACCCCGGGACUGCUCUUGGAACUGCGCGGCUGGAGUACAGGAGGGGCAGGCGGAAUUCCUGGUGUAGCGGUGAAAUGCGUAGAUAUCAGGAGGAACACCGGUGGCGAAGGCGGCCUGCUGGACUGCGACUGACGUUGAGGCCCGAAGGCGUGGGGAGCAAACAGGAUUAGAUACCCCCGUAACG
rnacentral:rRNA from 1 species